ensembl:lncRNA
CUUCCCUCAAUAAGCCUUAAGUUCUAUAAGUUAGUAAAUAAGUUAGAGCCCUCAUUUACUAAAGACACUUAAUUGGUUCAUUAAUAAAUGCAAUCAAGUCAUCACAAUAUCAUAACGAGUCCAAAACGAUCUACUACAGAACAUUGAAACCUGACAAAAAAACAUCUAAAUAAAUUUAAAUGGAUACAAAAAGCUAAAAUCUAAAAUGAUAGAAAUAGAGAUAGCAGAAUGGGGGAGAUGUAGAUUGUCUUUGUUGAAUGGUACAUUGAUUAGUUUAUCGCUUCUAUGAUCACAGUCCUGGUCAGUCAGUCAUCUAUACAUCUGUGCAAAAUGUGUCCAAAUUCACUGAAGCUGAGAUAAUAUGGAUAUUAAAGGGGAAGUUCAGGAUUUUACAACUUAAUGUUAGAUUGUUCCUCACCCUGAAAGUGUUCAAUGGUUCAGGAGAAACUGAAGUCCCUGGUUCGAUUUCUUUUUAAAACAGCCAUUAAAAACUUCAGCUAACUUUAAAAGCCAAAGUCCAAAAUACUGAACGUCCCCUUUAAUGACACUAAGGCUGGGAUUCAUUCAAAUCCUCAUUAGAUCUGCCUCAUGACAUUUAAAGGUCAUUUCCAAUUGAGCUGACAUUAGAUCUGCCUCAUGACAUUUAAAGGUCAUUUCCAAUUGAGCUGACAUUAGAUCUGCCUCAUGACAUUUAAAGGUCAUUUCCAAUUGAGCUGACAUUAGAUCUGCCUCAUGACAUUUAAAUGUCAUUUCCAAUUGAGCUGACAUUAGAUCUGCCUCAUGACAUUUAAAGGUCAUUUCCAAUUGAGCUGACAUUAGAUCUGCCUCAUGACAUUUAAAGGUCAUUUCCAAUUGAGCUGACAUUAGAUCUGCCUCAUGACAUUUAAAGGUCAUUUCCAAUUGAGCUGACAUAAGCAGCGUUUACCGUGAAUGUGGUCUCCACGAACGUGGGAGCAUGGUCUUUAAAAAGGUGCUGGGCCGAUCGGAUUGAAUCCUGGCCUCAAACUGCUGACAACCUCACAGCUGUCUAUACUGUACAUAAAGUUGGCUAGAGGGCACAUGUUCAAUAACGGUUUCUGUUCAUGUGCAUCCUCUAACUCUAUGGUGUCUGUGCCUGCAUACAAAACGGCAACAUUCCCUUUAAAAUGCACUACUUUUGACCAGAGCCCUAUGAGGAAUAUAUAUAUAGGGAAUAGAGUGGCAUUUGGGACGGAGGAUGUUGCCGUCUGUCUGUAUGAGUCCUCGCUCCGCUGUCCUGUUGGAGGGACAUUGUGCUCUUAUCUUGGAACAAAGUAAAGACAAGUUAAAAGGAUAACAACACUAUUCUCUCACACACACACACAGUAGGCUAGUUCCAGCUACAACCUCUUCUCCCUAGAAAAUACAAACGUACACAGUCAGUCGCUGUAAAAGUGCGGAUUACUCGCAGUUUCACUAACUUUUUAUUUGCCAUUUUCAUAUUCCUACUUUUGUUUUCCCAGUAAGAGACAAUAGAGCUUCUGUUUUCCCAGUAAGUAAGAGACAAUAGAGCUUCUGUUUUCCCAGUAAGUAAGACAAAUAGAGCUUCUGUUUUCCCAGUAAGACACAAUAGAGCUUCUGUUUUCCCAGUAAGUAAGACACAAUAGAGCUUCUGUUUUCCCAGUAAGUAAGAGACAAUAGAGCUUCUGUUUUCCCAGUAAGUAAGACACAAUAGAACACGGACGGUAAAAUUCAGAUGUCCUUUAUGAGGGAAGUUUAAAAAAAUCCUUAAUACAAAAAUUAAAAAUUAAAAGUGCAAAACCACAAAACUAAAAAUAAACAAAUGUGUUGUUUGUGUUCAUUUAAGCUCACCAUGGAAACUAAAAAAACAGUAGCAGCAAAUUAAAAAAAUAAUAAACAAAAAGCAACAAAAUUUGGACGUCUUGUAACACGUUAUCAGGAUAAACAACUCUGGGUUUAAUCUCUUUCCUCAAGAUAUCACUAUGGCAACACACACACACAGUUGGUCACAGUUUACAGGUGGAGGACAACAGGGUGGGAGGAGUCAAGUGUUAAAUCGUUACCUUAUUAAAACAAUCAACAGUGUCACGUAUGGUAAACAAAUAGGUAAACAAACUCAGACACGACACACAAACAGGUACAACUAGAGGCGAGAGGCUGUGAUCUGUAGUUUCCUAACUUUACCUAAGAAUAACAGGUAUUAUUUAAGCCCUAUUUCUCUCCCUCUUAUAAUGAUGACUCGUAUGAACCAAGAGGUUAGUUAUCCCGGUCUAUCUAGACGAGAACAUGAGAAUUAUCUCAUGAUAUUUAUAUGGAAGAAAGCAUUCCUUAGGGAAAAGGACAGAAACCAAAACAUGCUUGGUGGAGGAGAGAUCAGCAGUGAACCAGUGAUCGAGUAACAACAGGAGGAAUAUUAAUUCAUAUAGAAGAUCCUUUACCCCGGAAAAAAACAGCUCUCUCCCAGAAAUAAACAGAGGCUAGACACCUACCUGUCUGUCCCCAACACGCUGUCUGUCCCCAACACGCUGUCUGUCCCUCCACUGACUGUUAAUCCCUUACUGGUAGUGUCGGAGUCUGACUAGUGUAACAGCGCCAUCUACACAAAGCUCUAGGUAUUGCAAGUGUGUGUGUCUUACUGUGGGAGUGUCUGUCAGUCUCUCGGUCUAUGGCUCUCUGUGUGGUGGAUUUUUUUUCUAGUCUGAUUGAAAUCUGUUAAGUCUCUUUCCCUCUUCUGUAGUCUAGCUGGCCUCUACCUACCUCUACUGUAGUCUAGCUGGCCUCUACCUACCUCUACUGUAGUCUAGCUGGCCUCUACCUACCUCUACUGUAGUCUAGCUGGCCUCUACCUACCUCUACUGUAGUCUAGCUGGCCUCUACCUACCUCUCUCUACUAUAGUCUAGCUGGCCUCUCUACCUACCUCUCUACUAUAGUCUAGCUGGCCUCUACCUACCUCUACUGUAGUCUAGCUGGCCUCUACCUCCCUCUCUCUACUGUAGUCUAGCUGGCCUCUACCUACCCUCUCUACUAUAGUCUAGCUGGCCUCUACCUACCUCUACUGUAGUCUAGC